rnacentral:rRNA from 1 species
UACGGGGGGUGCGAGCGUUGUCCGGAAUCACUGGGCGUAAAGGGCGCGUAGGUGGUUUGAUAAGGGUGUGGUGAAAGUCCGGGGCUCAACCCCGGAUCUGCCGUGCCGACUGUCAAACUCGAGGACUGUAGAGGCAGACGGAAUUCCGGGUGUAGCGGUGGAAUGCGUAGAGAUCCGGAGGAAGACCGGUGGCGAAGGCGGUCUGCUGGGCAGUUUCUGACACUGAGGCGCGACAGCGUGGGGAGCAAACGGGG